AUCGAACUGACGAGUCCCAAACAAGACGAAAUGCCCGUCCUCGAU
rnacentral:hammerhead_ribozyme from 1 species